rnacentral:rRNA from 1 species
CUACUCUUGACAUCCAAAGAAGAACUCAGAGAUGAGUUUGUGCCUUCGGGAGCUUUGAGACAGGUGCUGCAUGGCUGUCGUCAGCUCGUGUUGUGAAAUGUUGGGUUAAGUCCCGCAACGAGCGCAACCCUUAUCCUUUGUUGCCAGCGAUUAGGUCGGGAACUCAAAGGAGACUGCCAGUGAUAAACUGGAGGAAGGUGGGGAUGACGUCAAGUCAUCAUGGCCCUUACGAGUAGGGCUACACACGUGCUACAAUGGUGCAUACAGAGGGCGGCGAACCUGCGAGGGUGAGCGAAUCUCAGAAAGUGCAUCGUAGUCCGGAUUGGAGUCUGCAACUCGACUCCA